UCCAAUGUGGUGUAGUGGCUAACAUUGCUGUCUUUCACACUUAAGUACCUUUUCCUUGCACAGCAGCCCGGGGUUCGAUUCCCCGCAUUGGAA